CCUACGGGUGGCAGCAGUGGGGAAUAUUGGGCAAUGGGCGCAAGCCUGACCCAGCAACGCCGCGUGAAGGAAGGAGGCUUUCGGGUUGUAAACUUCUUUUGUCAGGGAAGAGUAGAAGACGGUACCUGACGAAUAAGCGACGGCUAACUACGUGCCAGCAGCCGCGGUAAUACGUCGGUGGCAAGCGUUGUCCGGAUUUACCGGGUGUAAAGGGCGUGUGGCCGGGUUGACAAGCCAGAUGUGAAAGCCUGCGGCUGAACCGCAGAACUGCCUUUGAUACUGUUGAUCUUGAGUACUGUGGAGGCAGACGGAAUGUCUGGUGUAGCGGUGAAAUGCGUAGAUAUUAGGAGGAACACCAGUGGCGAAGGCGGUCUGCUGGACAGCGACUGACGGUGAUGCGCGAAAGCGUGGGGAGCAAACAGGAUUAGAUACCCCAGUAGUC
rnacentral:rRNA from 1 species